GUUUUUUCAUGUGUAAAAUAUGUAUGGCAAGCACUGUUCCCACUUGCUGUGGUGACCAGUAAAAUAUAUCUAAAAGCACCUACAAAAAAAGUCUGACAGACAACAGGUAUAAUAAUAGGUGACUAUUACUAUUAUAUACUUUCCCACCUUAAGGCCUCUUUAUAUAAUGAUCAAUAUAUAUAUAUAUUUUUCUUUUUUUGGCUGCCCCACAGGAUAGGGAGUUCCUGGGCCAGGGAUCAGAUCCGACCCACAGUUGUGACCUACACCACAGCUGUGCCAAUGCCAGAUCCUUCAACCCACUGUACCAGCCAGGGAUCAAGCCUGCAUCUUGGUGCUACAGAGAUGGCGAUCAUCCCGCAGCACCCUAGAGAGAAGUCCUGAUUAAAUAUUUUUUAUCACCCUUCUGCUCAACCCUGAAAUGCUUGUCUUCCCUUCUCCACCUGUCAAAACGGGUGAGUCUUUCAAGUAACUAAGAUUAUUACCACAUUUUUAUACAUAAUCCACUGCAUUUUACACAUAUCCACUACAUACUUGCUGAUAAUAUUUUUUCCUAAUGGCCUUUUCAAUUUUUGUAAUUAUUUUGAGAUGGAACAUGUAUAAGCAGAUAAACAGACAAACCAUACCCUUUUCAAUAAGUAAUGUGAAACUUAAGAAUCUCAGAACCUAAAGGAAACUCAGAAAUGACUUGGACCAACCAUUACCAGAUAUGAGUUUCUUCUCUAACAUCCUGACAAAUUAUUAACUCGACCUCUGUUGGGUAUGUCUAGGAGGGCCACUAUUUCUAACGCUACCCCACGCCAUUCUGAAACGGUUCUAUCAAAGGCUCUUCUUUUGACUGAGCCCACAGCCCUCUCCCUAUAAUGGCUAAACAGGAAAGAAAUCUAAUUACACUUGUGUCCAAAGGUCUUUUUGGGAUUAUGGCAUUUGGGAGCCACCUUGACUCCUGGAUCCUCUUUUCCUAUUUCUUCCUCAAGUCCCCUCAUCAUUCUGGCUCUAACUCCUUUAAUGCUUUUAAGGUAAGAUUUUAAAUUAGUGAAAAAUAAGACUCCUGGAAUGUUACAGAGUAGUUACAUCCAUAUCAGUAAAACUGUUCUUGAAGAGAUGCUCAGCUUCUGCUAACACAACCUUAGUUUGGGGGGAAGGAGGCCAGCCCAAACAAGGCUAAUACAAAAUUGUUAACCCAAACUAAGUCCCCUAAAGCCAUUAAGCCUUUUCCCUUGCAAUAUGAGGAAAUCACUUCUUUAUUAUCUCCUCGGGUAUGAAGACUUUAUAUUUAUCCCAAUGACCUGUUUCAUUCUGCUGAGAUAAAUUUGAACUCUGAUACUAUCAACCAAAUGGUUAAUUUAUACCAAACCUCAACACUCUUCAAAUUUGAUCCUCCUAGCAAGGUGCUCAUUGAGAAAGUGAGUUAUAUACCAUGAUUGGGGCAGAGCCCUCCAGAAAGACACUGCAAGUUUUCACUGUUAUAUGGAUCCAUGUAAUUAGCCUUCUUUGACUCCAAUGCCAACAUUUUCAAUGUUAUAAACAGAUACCUUGUUGAUAUCUAAAUAAAUUCCAUUUAAUUUAUUCUUUCAUCAACCAUGUAUGCUUGGGAUUUUUUUAAUUAACAAAACAACAACAACAACAACAAAAAACAUCUUGUUGGACGCUUUGGUAUCUAAAGAAAAAUGAAAAAACCCAAAAAAAAAAAAAAACCCAGAUGUCCAUCGACAGAUGAUUGGAUUCGGAAGAUGUGGUAUAUAUACACAAUGGAAUACUACUCAGCCAUAAAAAAGGAUGACAUAAUGCCAUUUGCAGCAACAUGGAUGGAACUAGAGAUUCUCAUCCUGAGUGAAAUGAGCCAGAAAGACAAAGACAAAUACUAUAUGAUAUCUCUUAUAACUGGAAUCUAAUAUCCAGCACUAAUGAACAUCUCCUCAGAAAAGAAAAUCAUGGACUUGGAGAAGAGACUUGUGGCUGCCUGAUGGGAGGGGGAGAGAGUGGGAGGGAUCGGGAGCUUGGGCUUAUCAGACACAACUUAGAAUAGAUUUACAAGGAGAUCCUGCUGAAUAGCGUUGAGAACUAUGUCUAGAUACUCAUGUUGCAACAGAACAAAGGGUGGGGGAAAAAAUGUAAUUGUAAUGUAUACAUGUAAGGAUAACCUGACCCUCUUGCUGUACAGUGGGAAAAUAAAAAAAAGAAAAAAGAAAAAAGAAAAAUGAAAACUAUGUAUAAUUGCCUAUAUGACACCUAUAAAAGAACACUAAACAAACUUCUGUGUCAUGAGCAUUUGUAAUAUUAGUUUAUCCAAGAAAGUUGAUCAAAGCUUAUCUCUGACCAUCCUUGCUCAAUACACCCCACCUAAGAUAAGUCGAUGAAAUAUUCCUUGAAAACACUAUAGAUUUUCAAAUACUCCAUAAUUAGAACCAAAGGAAGACUUAUGCCUUGCUUCAUUUAUCUGGAAAAAAAAUUUUAAUUUAAAAAAUGGUUUUUCUGGUUUUGUUUGUUUGUUUGCUUUUUAGGGCCGCAGCCCCAGUUCCCAGUUCCCAGUUCCCAGGCUAGGGUGUUGAAUCAGAGCUGCAGCUGUGACUUGCCACAGCCACAGCAACACAGGAUCGGGGCCACCUACACCACAGCUCAUGGCAACACCAGAUCCCUAACCCACUGAGCGAGGCCAAGGAUCGAACCCUCAUCCUCAUGGAUACUAACUGGGUUUGUAACCACUGAGCCACAAAGGGGAACUCCUUUAAAAAAAUGUUUACUUACAAUGUUUUAACUUUCAAACCCGCACCCACACUUUCUAAAUAUCAUCAAGUUUCCUUCCAGAAAUCAAAAGGAGGCCUUAUACAUGAAAAUUCUGCACAGGCCAGAAUAUUUUGUGAAUAUUCACUGAAAGGGACACAAGGCAAGUAUAUAAGGAGAGUGGAAGUGCAAGAAAAAGUCAAAAAAUGUUUUCCUACUAUUUCUUUGAAUAUUUUACAUAACCCAUUUCUUCAUUUAAAAACAUGCAAUCCUCCUUAAUACUCCAUUUAAGAUAAGAAGUUACUCCAGAGCAACAAAAAGUACCUUUGUAAUUACCAACAUUCUUCUUUCGGAGCUAUUUCUCCCAAGGGAAACAGGGAAUAUUUACUUCAGGAUCCCGUUCAAAGAGGUUGUCGUCAUCACAAAUUCUGUUGCCUGCUUUACUAAAGAACCAGCUGCCAGGAGAUAGACAAAUGCUACUGCUCACUGGGUUCACGGCAGCCCAUGUCCUCUUUUUCACCAAAGAGAAAAAUUUUCAAUAGAGUUUUAAAGUCAAGAUAACUUUAGGAUUCAGGACAUUCCACGACUAGGACAUAGCCGAUAAUAGGAGUUUGGCUCUUAUCCUUCUCCCACUGAAGGAUGGGGAACACCUUUUGCCCCCAGUUAAACCACAGUAGAGAAAAACUAAGUAAGUCUUAUUUCCCUGGAGCGAAACUAAAAUAUUUAGUUUUUAGUUUGUCAAACUGUCAAAGGUGGGGACUUUAAGAAGAGGAGAAAAAUGCAGAUAAUUGAAUGAUUCGUCAUGGAUCUACUCAGGCAUGACUUUAAAUGUUUGCUAUUACUUAAGGUUAAAAAAAUUCCUGAGCCCCUAAUACCCUAAGCCUGUCCUAUUAUUUAUUUGUUACAAUAAACUGCCAAGUUCCCAGAUAUAAUGAAUGUCUGAUCAGUGUGUUACAGAGGGACCUCCAAUAUCACUAAAUCUGCAAUUAGAGCUGACUAGAAAAUUUUGCAUUUAGUUUUGAAGAUGUUUAAUUUGAAAUCUUUUAUUUUGCCAUAAGAACUGUCAAUACUUAAAAGUCUCCCUGUAACUCCAACCCCAUGCUUACCCAGAUUCCCUCUAAUAACCAUUUCCAGAAGGUGUUCUGAAGUAUGUCACUGAUAUUAGACAAUUUCCAUUAAUCGGUAUUAUCAUAAAUCUACACAGAAUUCAAAAGGUAAAGGAUUACAAAUAAAUUUUAAUCCAUUAGAGAUUUCAAGGAUUCGGUAGUUUCAAAAUAUUUCAGUAGAAAGUUAAAGCCAGGGUGAGAUGAGAUCCCAGCAAACUAUAUUUAUUGUGUUAAUGUACCAUUUGUCUUCUGGGCAAGUAACUAAAGGUCAUUUGUUCUUCAUGGCAAGUGUUGAAAAUAGUUUACAUCGGAGGUCUAACUUAAAGGAACAAUGUGAAACCCCUCAGGCCUAAAAUGACCUUUUUAUGCCAACACAGAUGUCCAAAUCUCUUAAAGAGGGGGGCAGUGAUGUCUGCACUCUGAUUUCCAGUUCUUUCAACUCUCUUUUCCUAAAUGCUUCUGAUGGAGAAAUUAGACUCAUUUCCUGCUUGUAGAUCUCAGGGUAUCUGAUCAACUAUGAGGGCCAGGUAUCAAAGCUGAAUGUCGGCCUGAAGAGGGGCAAGUUAUUCCCAGGCCUACGUCUGUCAAGGGAGAGGGUGACUGUGUGAGAAGGAGGCACACGGUAAAUAAAAUCUGCAUGGGGCAGGGGACUACUUCCGUUCCCCGGGGUCUGAGGGAGCUUCUGGGAGGCUGGACAGUCAUCCCACAUAGUGCCUGGCAGAAACCCAAGGAGGUCUAGCCAGAACGGGCCUCCUUCAGAAGUGUAAGGGCAUGAGGGAAGAGGAAUAAAGAGAAAGGAAGAUAAGGCCUGCAAUUAAGACUGUGGGCUAUUUCCCUUGACCAAAAAAAAAAAAAAAAAUUGCUUCCAAAGAGCUGGGAGCUUUGAGGAAUUCUUGCCUCCCGAUCGUUCAAACUCAGAAUGGUCAGGUGAUGGAAAAGAAACAACUACCCCAUUAACAUCUACCCAUUUCCAUAGUCAAGUUGGCCACUUUUCUUGCCAUCCCAAAAUGGGAUUCAAAAAUAAAGACUGAUGGAGACAGAGAAGUAUGUGUUUUCAUUUUCUCUUCCAGAUCAGCUGGGGCUGAUUUUUCCCUCAGGCUUUGCUAACCACACAUCAGGGUUUCCGUCUAUGGAAAACAACCCAUGAAUGCACCUAAAACAUGUUCUAACUUUUAACGUUAUGUAUAAAGACACCUAGAUUCUAGCUCACUCCGUACUGCCCACAGAGACAGAAGGCAAAUUUGAUGUCGAAGCCCUAACAGCAAACUGUCUCUUGGGUUCACACGUCCUCCUGCCGUUUAUGGCAGACUUCACACAUUCAGCGUGCUGCGUUGUCACAUUUGGGUGGCCCAAACAAUGGCACAGAACAGACACUGCAACGAACAGCAGAGAAACCAUUUGUUCUAUAGUGCCCUUUUUCUUCGGGUUACAUAUUCUACCACUCUGCAGGGCAAGGAAAGCACCAAGGGCACCUAGAACAGAUUCACAUUUUAGUUUGAACUGGUAUGGCAUUCUUAAUUAAAGAAAAGAACUGUUUCCUGGAAUUCUGCCCUGUGGUUUCCCAAGCUCGUUUGUGAGAUGGGCAUUGAACACAGGGGAGAAAAAAAUGGAAAGAGAUUGCUUUUGGAGUGCUUUUGAUAUCACUCCCUUCUAUUGACUAUCAAGUAAAUCAGCCCAUUGUCCUUCUUGACAAAGAGUUUUCCUUAAAGAUGACCCUUAGCACUAGGCAAGCACAAUUCGAAACAGGUAUGAAGCCAGUAUACCCGAGUGGGGCUGAAACCUGAACAGUUAUUUUUUUCCACUUAUACAGGAAAAUUCAAGGGAAAAUUGGUUACAUGGGCAACUCACAGUUUCUUUUGGAAUGCUUUCAUGGAAAUUCAGACAGUAUUCGAUACACACAUCAUAUUUUUUUAAUAGUGUUGUGUGGGUGGGUUGGAGGCACAUGAAGAGCUCCAGAAUCCAUAUAAAUAUCCAAAAUGUGCAUGGAGAAACUCUCUCAUUUCCUUUUUAUUGUCUAGUGCUCAUUUACGAACUUACUUGCAGCAUGAUACUCUAAUAUUCCUUUCUGCCUAUUUUAACAUUAGCACCAGCCUCCUAAUAUGGCUAAAAAUGAUAUCACUACCUCCAAAAAAACCAAAAAAAAAAAAAAAAGAUUUUUAAAGGAACAAAAACCAAAUGAAGCAGCUAUAUUCAAAAUUAAGAGGUAAGGCAAGCCUACCCAGAUGGGUUUUAUCCCAAAACCAACCAAGACAGACAAGCAAACCAAAAAACAAAAAUCGACCAUCUCUUUCUUUUUUUUUCUUCAUGCCAGGGCUGCUGCCUGGGUGGUAGCCAUUCAUGCUGGCUUGUGUGCACUUGGAGUGCAGGGACUAGUUAAUGGGGAAAUUACAGAUGACUCUGCAUGGUGGCUUCUCUGAUUUACAUUUGUGGUAAAACCCAAGACAACUGAUCUGUAACUCUGACUUGAACUGGGCCCUUACAUGGAAAUUUUUCCAGCCUGUGGCAGUACCUAAAAGGCUUUCUGGGAAGAGUUCAAGAGCCUCCUCUUCCUAUGGUAGCCCUUGCCAGGGUAUUUUAACUUCCUUUAUUAUAUCAAUCAUGAGUGUCCUGAAUACCCUUCCCAUGUCACCAAAGCCAUGUUCACUAGAGUCACAUGCUGGUGAUGGGUUUAAAAAAAAAAAAAUUCUCAGGCAAUGCAAAAUGAUCAAUUCAGGGUACUGAAAGUUAGAACCAAAUAUCUGAAUCUGAAUAUCUGAAUCAAAGUUUUAAAAGUUAAGGCACACAAAAGUCCUUUGAAUUUCAGUAAUGACCAAAGCAUACUAAACUGAUCAACACAGGAAAAACAAAAAAGAAUGAAGGGAUAAAGGACUGAUAACGGGACAAAGGAAUGGAUGUACCAAGUUCUGACAAACACUGGAAUCACAUUUCAAAUCCAGGGCUGUCCAAUGCAAUUCAUACUCACGCUAAAAGUAAGUCAUGGAUCUCAGUCUACCUUCCCUGCACUGUUUUCCCUCAUGGCAAUGAGAAAAUGCUUUUCCUCUCACAUUAGAGAGAUUCAUUUCAUACUCCUAGUUAAAAAAAAAAAAAAUUAAGGUAAAUUAUGAGCCAACGAGUCACUACAUGUUCAAAUGCAUUUGCCGAAUUAGGAACUCAACAUCUUCACUCCCUUUAAUUGCUUUGAGGCAGUGAACUACAAACAGCCUUGGUUAAAGCAAGAACUACAAGCACAUACACAUACUCACCAAAUUCUUGGUCAUAAUGAAAUUCUUAAGUUCAAACUAAUCAAAAGAGGAAGGAAGAACUACCAUCUGUCUCCCCACCAUAUUAGCCUGUUAGGUUCAUAUAUUUCAGACUGGUUAAAAAAGGCUUCACCAAAUGUAGCACCAAUGAAAGUUCAACUGCUGAAAUACCUGUUGAUUUUGGUAACUAACUAAAAGUCAGGUAAUAAAGGAUACAAAUGCCUUCUGAUGAUUGUUUAGUCUCACUCCCCCUGAUUUAAGCCCCUGAAAAGUGUCACCCUUUUGAUGUGAAGCAAAUAUAGCAUUUUCCCCUAUAGGAAAUACUGUGCCUCAAUCAAAAUGCACUGCAUACUGUGCUUCAUCUAUCUCAGGACAUUUAGGAAAACUGGACAACCACAAAAAAAGUAAAGGGCAGGUUCUAGCCCAUGAGAUAUAAGACCAGUAAUGAUCCUGACAUGAUAAAAAGUAAUCAUUUCAUAGACAUUGGUAAAGCUGCCUGGAAACAUCAGUGAUUCUAUCCCUUCAAGUAUUAUUAGAAACAGAGACUCAGGAGAUAUAAUAAACACUUAAAGUCAUCUUGUCAUUGGCAAGUGAUGCCAACAAUGUUACCAUAACUGAAUCGCUUCUUAGAAUCUACAAGUGACCCUUACGUAUUUUAUUCUUGAUACUUCUGAUGAAAACUGGCCUUUUAUGAAAGAACGGACUGUAAGAUAGUUUAGAUUUACUGCUAUAUACAAGGUCUCAGAUGUUAAAUUUAAGAUGUGAAGUGUUAUGUGCAUAUUUUUAAAAAUUUUAAGAAUACACUGAGAUAAGAAAAUUCAAAUAUAUAUGAACAAUAUUAAAGUCUUUUGAUGAUUUCUUUCACUCUUCCUGUUUAAGUAAGUAAAAUAUUUCAAUUUCCAUGAGCACAACUGAUAAUAUAACAUGGGUUUUCCAGGUGUUCAAUCCCCUUAUCUGCUUUACAAGCUGCUUUGCCAAAAAGGCAAAGUUUCCUGAAGGAAUCCCAUCUUUGUUAGUUCCUUAGACUUUGUUAAGCCUUGCCUACCCUACAGUUCCCAAUAAAUUAUAUCCUUCUUCACACUAUAGGGUUUAUUUUGUGGGUUGGGAGUGGCUUUCUUAUUUUUCUUCUAAUGAGUAAGUUUGAAAUCUCUGAUUAAUAGUGUCAGCGGUAUUCAAACCUGUCAAGAAAAUCAAAAACAAGGAAAGUCUAAGAAAACAGUCACAAUCAAGAGAAGCCUAAGGAGAUAUAUUUUACAUAUAAUGUAGUAUCCAGGAUGGAGUCCUGG
rnacentral:lncRNA from 1 species